rnacentral:lncRNA from 1 species
CACACACACACACACACACGCACCCGCUCCGCUUCCCCGCGCAACGACAGACGCGCUCCCGGCGCCGGCAGCGAGCGGGGCGGCAAGCAGCGGCGGCGGCGGCGGGACUUUGCGAGAUGACCGGCCCCGCGUCCAGCGCGGGCGCGGAGCGGCAGACACUCAUGGGACAAGUCACUGAGAAGAGCACACAGGAAGCAAAAGGGAAUGGAAAACGGUUAAAUAAGGAGGAAUGUCUGCCAUGGGCUGCAGCCGCUUAGGAUACAUUGGGAUCCACAAGAGAAGGGACAAAUAAUGGGUUACAGAGCUCUGGUGCAACCAAAGGGACCCGUUUCCAGUCUUCUUAAUCAAAAUUGCAAUAACUGCAACAGGUGAGACAUGCGUGCUGUGGCCCCGAGACAGCAAACCAGUUCACAGGCUGCGGUUUCCAUAUCGGUUCCUAAAGCUGCUUGUAGGAAAUCACCCAGCCCAAAGAACCUCCUGGGAUCCCAGCCUCUACCUUCCUAUUUCAAAAUGCAUGGGACUACAAAUCUUCAUCAAAGGCAAGAGGAAUUGUCUGAGGAAUAAGGACUUCAAGAUUCAAUGAGUGCAUAUCAUGCCAGAGAGGCAGAAACUAACUGAAGUCUUGAACCAAAUUAUGCUAUUAUGGAUGUGUGCUUGCACAGAAAGCCAGCGAAUGGGCACUACAGCACCUCAGCUAUAUUUUGGUGGUGUUACCGAUACCUGAGUUACGCAGCUUUUUGCUCAAAGGGCUCUCCCUGCAGCAACAGAAAUUUUACUGUGACUCUUCCAAAGAUGCCUAAGGAGUCCUGCAUAAAUAUUCAGAGGAAGAGGGGUCUGGAUCUUCAUGACUGCAUUGAAAUGCUUGGCCCCACUGAACAGAGGCUCACACGUACCAGUUUUGAGGUGGUGUAACUUUAACAUCGUCAGAGUUAUUUCAGAUUUACCCGACUGCAGCUGGGAGCAGAGUCAGGCUCUGAUCACUUAGCAAAGCCUAUAAGAUAGUGACACAUACACCUCACUUACAGUGAGCCUUGGCACCUUCAUGUCAAUAUUUAUUUCCAGCCCUUCUCACUUUCCACUGGCAUUCAGAUGUAUGGCCAGCCUCUGUUAAAUAUUUUAUUUGUAUUGCAUGUAGCUGAAACAAGUUUAUGUUAGGUGAGAAAUGGUGGUGUAUUUGAACUCACACCGUCUACAAGGGUCUUCUGUGCACCACGGCGGGCACUGGCUCAGCUCCCCACCACCAGCUGCAACCCCAGCUGAGGAUGCGACUUAGGUGUGCACAAAUGCACUCGCAUGGCGAUACAGUCACAUUCAUCUGCCAAAGUCAGCAACAAAACCU